rnacentral:rRNA from 1 species
CUAAGGCUCCAGAGGAAGCCACGGCUAACUCUGUGCCAGCAGCCGCGGUAAUACAGAGGCGGCAAGCGUUGUUCGGAAUUAUUGGGCGUAAAGAGCACGUAGGCGGCCCUGCAAGUCAGUUGUGAAAGCCUUCCGCUUAACGGAAGAAUGCCAGCUGAUACUACAGGGCUUGAGUACGGGAGGAGAGAGUGGAACUUCUGGUGGAGCGGUGGAAUGCGUAGAUAUCAGAAGGAACGCCGGCGGCGAAAGCGACUCUCUGGCCCGAAACUGACGCUGAGUGUGCGAAAGCUGGGGGAGCAAACGGGAUUAGAUACCCCGGUAGUCCUAGCCGUAAA